UACGUAGGGUGCAAGCGUUAUCCGGAAUUAUUGGCCGUAAAGAGCUCGUAGGCGGUUUGUCGCGUCUGCUGUGAAAACUGGAGGCUCAACCUCCAGCCUGCAGUGGGUACGGGCAAACUAGAGUGCGGUAGGGGAGAUUGGAAUUCCUGGUGUAGCGGUGGAAUGCGCAGAUAUCAGGAGGAACACCGAUGGCGAAGGCAGAUCUCUGGGCCGUAACUGACGCUGAGGAGCGAAAGCAUGGGGAGCGAACAGG
rnacentral:rRNA from 1 species